CCGCCCACAUCAUCCAGCCCUAAGUCAUCAACUGGAAGCAGCACCAGUACUCCACCUACCCCUCCUGAGACAUCUUCAAACACCAGUGCUCCGCCGACAUCGUCCAGCCCUGAGUCAUCAACUAGUGAGACUUUGUUUACUUAUGUAUUUCUUU